rnacentral:rRNA from 1 species
UUUUAUAUUUAUUUUUUAUAUAUUAUAAGUUAGAGAUUAAUUUAUUUUCAAAAAAAUAUUUUUAAAAUUUAUUUAUUUUAGUAUUAAUAAAAAAUAUUAUUUUAUUAAAUUAUUGAAAAAGAAGGUUAUUUAAAUAAAUAAUUAAAUUAGAUAUUAAUUUUUUUUACCUUUUGUAUCAGGGUUGAUUAAAAAAUUUAUUUAAAAAAUUAAUUUCGAAUUUAUAAGAUUUAAUUAGUUAAUUUAGUUAAAGUUUUAUAUUUAUUAAUAAUAAUUAAUUGGAAGAGAAAUUUUAUUCGGUUAUAAAGAUAUCUAAUUAUUUAAUAAAUAAAUUUAAUUUAGAUAAUUUAUUAAUAUUUUAUUAUUUUUAAUUUAAUAUUUUAAUUUAUUAAUAAUUAAAGGGUUAAGCUUUUAAUUAAAUUUAUAAUUUUUUUUUAUUAUAAUAAUAAUAUAAGAAUGAAAUUUUUUUUUAUUUAAAAUAUUGUUAUAAAUUAAUUUAUUUAAAAUAAGAUUUAUUUUAAUUUAAAUUUUUAUUAAAUUAAAUUUUUUAAUUAUUAAAAAAUUUAAAUUAUGAUUAAAUUAGUAUAAUUUUUAAUUGUUUAAUAAUAAUAAAUUAAUAAAAAUAUAUUUUAAUAAUUAGGCAAAAUUAUAUAUAUAUAUAUAUAUAUAUAUAUAUAUUAUUCACCUGUUUAUCAAAAACAUGUCUUUUAUGAUUAAGAUUAUAAGUCUAAUCUGCUCCAUGAUUUUAAAUUAAAUAGCUGCAGUAUUUUAACUGUACUAAGGUAGCAUAAUCAAUAGUUUUUUAAUUAAAAGCUAGAAUGAAUGAUUUAAUGAAAUAAUAACUGUUUUAGAUAUAUUUAUAGAAUUUUUUUUUUAGUUAAAAAGCUAAAUUUAUAUAAAAAGACGAGAAGACCCUAUAGAUUUUAAUAAAUUAGUUUAAUAAUUUGAUUUAAUAUAUUUAUUUAAUUUAUAUAAUUUAUUUGAUUGGGGUGAUUAUUAAAAUUAUUAAACUUUAAUAAUUUAAUACAUUAAUUUAUGAAUAAUUGAUCUUUAAAUUAAGAUUAUAAGAUUAAAAUACCUUAGGGAUAACAGCGUAAUUUUUUUGGAGAGAUCAUAUUGAUAAAAAAGUUUGCGACCUCGAUGUUGAAUUAAGAUUAAAUUUAAGUGAAGAAAUUUAAAAUUUUUGGUCUGUUCGACCAUUAAAAUCUUACAUGAUUUGAGUUCAGAUCGGUGUAAACCAGAUCGGUUUCUAUCUUUUAUAAGUUUUUAUAAUUUUGUACGAAAGGACUUUUUAUAUAAAAUAUUUUUUUUAAAAUGAUGAUUUUUAAUAUUUG